UUCUGCGGAUAGCCGCCCCUGGAGAGCACGCGUCCGCCAGCCCGACCGGUCACACUGGAUCCAGGCGCGUGUGACAUGGCGAGGAAAAGCUUAUUCACGUUUAUAGUUUUACAUAUUUAUGAUGAAACAUGACGUAAGUCUGCAGAAAGAAUUGCUCCCGAUUUGUUGGCGUUAUGGUGCCUUUUGGAGCGGCGACUAGGCCGCAUCGGCGUGGAAAUACGGGCCGGGGAUGAAGCCGUUCCUGAGGCGCGUGUCCGGCCGCACGUGGCGUGCUUUCCGGAGGCCCUCGUGGCUCCGCUACGCAGAAUGCGGUUCGGUGGUGAAUCUCUGCGAUGGCCACGUGCUUUCUGACUCAAGAAAUGGACCCUCGGCACCGGGACUCCAGGAAUGAAGAAUAUGUUGACCUGUUUUGAAUAAAAUAUUUGUCAACAAGCUCA